CAACGUAAGCAACCUGCCCGAAAGACCGGGACAACAGCUCGAAAGGGCUGCUAAUACCGGAUGUGUCCGCUUUGCCUCCUGGCUUAGCGAGUAAAUCAUUUAUGGCUUUCGGAGGGGCUUGCGGCCUAUCAGCUAGAUGGCGAGGUAACGGCUCACCAUGGCGACGACGGGUAGCUGGUCUGAGAGGAUGGUCAGCCGGACUGGGACUGAGAUACGGCCCAG
rnacentral:rRNA from 1 species